rnacentral:miRNA from 14 species
CCUGGAGCUCACUCUGUAGACCAGGCUGUCCUCAAACUCACAGAGAUCCUCCUGCCUCUGCUUCCUGAGUGCUGGGA